GGUGUUGGACCCCUCUGGAUAAGCUCAAACAUGUAACCGUCAGGAUCCUGUGCAAAGGCAAUCACAGUGGAUCCUCCCUUGACAGGACCAGGUUCACGAGUGAUCUUGCAGCAACAACUGGAUUUAAUUUUCUCAGCCAAUUUGUACACGUCCUCAGUUGCAAUAGCGAAAUGCCCAAAUCCUGCUCCAAUGUCGUACUUAUCAACACCAUAAUUGUAUGUCAAUUCAAGUGCAAAGUUGGUGUCCUCAGGUCCAAACCCAAGAAAUGCAUUCGUAUAUUUCUC
rnacentral:misc_RNA from 1 species